UUGCCGAAUCGAGGUUAACGGAACGGAACCGAACGGAACGGCGUUCAGCCGAACCGAACUAAACAAGCCGAACCGAACUAAACAAGCCGAACCGAACUAAACAAGCCGAACCAACGCGAGAUCGGCCGAACCAAAGUGAACUUUACGAGGGUCCGGAACUCAUCAAAAGGAGUGAGAAAAUGCUGUGGGCAGAAGGAGCUGCAUGGGUUCAUGUCCGCGCUGGACAAGUGACACAAACAGCACGGGGAGCAUUUACAGCAAACCAAGUGGCAAAAAGCCACAUUUGGUUCAGAGGGAGGCUGAAUCCCUGCGAGGAAUUCCACCGAAACAAUAAGCCAAGUGAUGGAAAUUCAGGGUUUGGCUGUGGCCACCAUCUUCUGGUGUGAAAUGUUACUGUAUUGUCCCAAACAGUCACAGAACAAAACAAAGAAAGGCAUUUUAAAUCCUAA